UACGGGGGGGGCAAGCGUUGUUCGGAAUUACUGGGCGUAAAGGGCUCGUAGGCGGCCAACUAAGUCGGAUGUGAAAUCCCCAGGCUUAACCUGGGAACUGCGUCUGAUACUGGUUGGCUUGAAUCCGGGAGAGGGAUGUGGAAUUCCAGGUGUAGCGGUGAAAUGCGUAGAUAUCUGGAGGAACACCGGUGGCGAAGGCGGCAUCCUGGACCGGUAUUGACGCUGAGGAGCGAAAGCCAGGGGAGCAAACGGG
rnacentral:rRNA from 1 species